AUUAUUUAGAAAAACUGGACUACAAUACACAACUCCUCUUAUAUCUCUACCUCUACUUUGGCCUUAGCCAAUCCUUCUACUUGUAGACUCCUAGAUACAAUGAAUUUAGCCUACACUAACUCACCACGAAGCAAACAUUAAAAUACACAUUAACUCACCCACUAUCACAUAGUAAUAAGCCUAAAGCUGUCCAAAAUACCCGAUAUACCAUACCCGAUCCGGACCCUACUCAGACCCUGCUAGACCCAAACCGGACUUGCUAAAAAAUGGAUAGUAUACGGAUAACAAAAAUUAUCCAUUAAAGUUUCAAGUAUGGUCCAGAUAUAUUAU
rnacentral:lncRNA from 1 species